GGAGCUGUCCAUGAGCCCGGGCACUGGACAUUGGCUGCAAUCUUUCCAUCUGAAAGAAGAAGCCUUAUAUUGGAUCCCCUGGGAAAUGAUUCGAAAAAACUUCAACAGUGUUUGCAGUCCACAAGGGCCUUCAUCAGAAAACAAGGCUGCCAUGUAUCCAGGUGGGCAUCCAGCACAGAUGCACACUGUUGUCAGGAAGAUGGCAC